CCAUGGAUAGCUCAGUUGGUUAGAGUGUGGUGCUACUAAUGCCAAGGUUGCAGGUUUGAUCCCUGUAUGGG